rnacentral:sRNA from 1 species
GGAUUUAAUUAUUCCUCUCAGCUUUGGAAUCUUUUACUUCUCACUUGGACAAGAACUCAAGAGCAGAAUCUCCGUGUUGCAAUCUGGUUCCUAAGGAGGAAGAGGAAGGCAGCCCUGGAGUGGUUUCUUUACAGUAAUUUCAACAGAAGAGUGAGAGAUGGAACCCGAAGAAGAAAGGAUUCGUUACAGCCAGAGAUUGCGUGGUACCAUGCGACGACGCUAUGAAGAUGAUGGCAUUUCAGAUGAUGAAAUUGAAGGAAAAAGAACUUUUGACUUGGAAGAGAAACUGCACACCAACAAAUAUAAUGCCAAUUUUGUUACUUUUAUGGAAGGAAAAGGUCAGUAUCGUUUUGGUUCCAGCGUACAGUCCUUUGAUGUGGGAAGCCAUAGACUCUGAGCACUGGGGGUUUAGCAUUUAUCCAGCUAAAAUAUUGCUUGUUGAUGUUAUGUAUUUUCUCUUGUUAUACAAUGCCACUUGUAUGCACUUAUCCCCCAGUCCUCCCACCCUGUGAGUCAUUCUCUGCUAUAUUAGAAGUAAUCUUUUAUUAGGGCAGGAGUAUUGUUGGAUU